CCCCAACGCCCCGCCCACCCUUGACAGACUGGAGGCGACCGAUGAAUCCAAACAGACGGGUUUUACUGGGGGGAACCCGGACGCCUGGGCCCCUCCCGGACGCCUGGGCCCUUCCCGGACGCCUGGGCCCCUCCCGGACGCCUGGGCCCCUCCCGGACACCUGGGCCCCCCCAAGCAGGAAGGCACUAAGAUGCUCACGUGUGCGGAACCAGACCGGAAGGCACUUGGACGCUGGGGUUCCCCGGACGCCUGCAGCGCUCCGGCCUCCGGCGUCACCCGCGAGGCGAACGUCCCCUGCCGGGCCCACCCACCAUGCACCGGGGCGUCCCCAUCCCAUGAUGCACCGGGGCGUCCCCAUCCCACAAUGCACCGGGGCGCCCCCAUCCCACCAUGCACCGGGGCUGCCAGCCCACUACCCACUGGGGCACCUGGCCCACAAUGCCCUGGGAGCAGCAUCCCAUGAUGCACCGGGGCACCCCAUAUCCCACAAUGCACCACCACACUCCAAUCCCACAAUGCACCAGGGCAUCCCAACCCCUCAGUGUCCUGGGGCCACAGUCCCACAAUGCACUGGGGCUUCCAUCCCAUCAUGCCCUAGGUCCUCCCGUUUCCCAUGAUGCCCUGGGUCUCCCAUUUCCCACCAUGCCCCAGUCCCCCAUUUCCCAUGAUGCCCUGGGUCCCCCCAUUUCCCAUGAUGCCCUAGAUCUCCCAUUUCCCAUGAUGCCCCAGUCCCCCCAUUUCCCAUGAUGCCCCAGUCCCCCAUUUCCCAUCAUGCCCUGGGUCCUCCCAUUUCCCAUCAUGCCCCAGGUCCCCCCAUUUCCCAUCAUGCCCCAGGUCCUUCCAUUUCCAUGAUUCCCCAGUUCCCCUGUUUCCCAUCAUGCCCCGGGUCCCCCCAUUUCCCAUGAUGCCCCAGUCCCCCCGUUUCCCAUCAUGCCCCGGGCCCCCCUGUUUCCCAUGAUGCCCCAGGUCCCACCUGGGGCCAGUCCAGCAGCGCCGCCAGCAUCUGCCCCGUCUGGUUGCAGUCGUCAUCGAUGGCCUGGGGGAGACGCGGGGACACGCGUGACGGGGACACGUGGGGGACACGCAAGCACAUGGGACACAGGAGACAUGGGGGACACGCGGGGGACACGCAUGACGGGGACACGGGACAUGCAGGGGACACGCGGGGGACACGCGGGCACGUAGGACGCAGGAAACAUGGGGAUCACACGGUGGACACGCAUGAUGGGACACAGGACACGCAGGGGACACGCGUGACAAGGGCAGGGGACACGCGGGGGACACACGAGCACAUGGGACACGCAGGAGACAUGGGGGGACACGUGGCGGACACGUGUGACAAGGACACAGGACACGCAGGGCACAUGCAGGGGACACACAUGACAAGGACAUGGGACACGCGGGGGACACGCGAGCACACGGAGCCGUUGCAGGGCCCAGGGGCUCUAUAGGGGCCGGUAAAGCCCCCAGG
rnacentral:lncRNA from 1 species